rnacentral:rRNA from 1 species
UCCCAGACUCCUACGGGAGGCAGCAGUGGGGAAUAUUGGGCAAUGGGCGCAAGCCUGACCCAGCAACGCCGCGUGAAGGAAGAAGGCUUUCGGGUUGUAAACUUCUUUUCUCAGGGACGAAGAAAGUGACGGUACCUGAGGAAUAAGCCACGGCUAACUACGUGCCAGCAGCCGCGGUAAUACGUAGGUGGCAAGCGUUAUCCGGAUUUACUGGGUGUAAAGGGCGUGUAGGCGGGAAAGCAAGUCAGAUGUGAAAACCACGGGCUCAACCUGUGGCCUGCAUUUGAAACUGGCAAACUGGAGUGUGUGAGAGGAUAGUGGAAUUCCAGGUGUAGGAGUGAAAUCCGUAGAUAUCUGGAGGAACAUCAGUGGCGAAGGCGACUAUCUGGCACAUAACUGACGCUGAGGAGCGAAAGCGUGGGUAGCAAACAGGAUUAGAUACCCUUGUAUGC